rnacentral:rRNA from 1 species
CCCUUAGAUGUUCUGGGCCGCACGCGCGCUACACUGAUGCAUUCAAUGAGUCUAAAACCUGGUCUGAUAGGGCUGGGUAAUCUUUUGAAAGUGCAUCGUGAUUGGGAUAGAUGAUUGCAAUUCUUCAUCUUCAACGAGGAAUGCCUAGUAAACGCAAGUCAUCAGCUUGCAUUGAUUACGUCCCUGCCCUUUGUACACACCGCCCGUCGCUCCUACCGAUUGAAUGAUCCGAUGAAUACCAUGGAUUGAGAGUACGAAUGGGUUCGCUCAUUUCUGCUGCUCGAGAAGUGGAGUAAAUCUUAUCAUUUAGAGGAAGGAGAAGUCGUAACA